UAUGCCAUGCCACAUCAUCUCAACAUUUCUCAUAUUAAUUAUGCCAUGCCACAUCAUCUCAACAUUUCUCAUAUUAAUUAUGCCAUGCCACAUCAUCUCAACAGUAAUAAGGUAUGAAUGCAUCAACAUAAUCAUAUCAGGUGCAAGAAAGUAAUCAACCGUAGGCCCUCUAAUAGCCCUGUACGGUUGAACCUAGAGCUCAAAAUCUAUCACUCUCACACUCUGCCGGAGUCACUCCGCGUGACCUGUACGGCCUUCUGCACAUAAGUUACGCUCUAGUGCUUCUCAUAAUCAUUUGUGCACAUAAUCUAAGGUCACCCACCAGUCGGAAUCUCACUAACACUCUCGCGACUGGCCUGUCGUACCCACUCCGCGUGGACUGUACGACUAGCAUCUACUUGGAUCCAAGACGAGCGUGCGAUGCGGUGAAUACUAUAAGCACUAAACUAUGGUGCAGGAUUUGAGCUCAAUAUACAUCAACAUCAUCAUAACAGAAAUAAAUACUCACAUGUGCGUCCACCGCACCAUUUCAUACAUAUGCAUCAUAAAUCAAUUCUUACCCGUGCGUCCACCGCACCAAUUCAUACAUAUGCAUCAUAAAUCAAUUCUUACCUGUGCGUCCACCGCACCAAUUCAUACAUAUGCAUCAUAAAUCAAUUCUUACCUGUGCGUCCACCGCACUAAUUCAUACAUAUGCAUCAUAUAUUAAUUCAUGCAUGGCAUUUCAACUCACAUUUCUAAAUACUUUUCAUAUCAAUUCUAUGCAUGGUAUUUCACUUCCCGUUUUUCCACAUAACUCAUAUGCAUUUCAUUUUAAACAUAUUUUCAUUUCAAUUCAAUUUCUGGGAAACGUCAAGUAUAUAUAUAUAUACGGAAAACAAAACUGCCCACUCACCUGGAGUUCGUCCAACAACUCCCUAGCACCACACAUCAAGGCGUCACGACGAUCGGCGCCUAAAACAAUAAUCAAAUCUAGCCUCAGAAUUCAUAUCGAUAGAACAUAUAACUUAUAUAAAAUACGUCACUACGUAGUUCGAUCCGGAAGAUCUGCCACUCAGAUUUUAAAUCCAUAACUUCCAGAGGUCCACAAUAUAUCUCUAGGAUAACAUCCUAAAAUUUCAUUUCCAUCCAACGGUCGGAUCUCCGUCAAUUUCCAAAACUAAGUGACGGUUAACAUUUUAUAUUAUGGACUUACAACUCCAAUUCCGGAAGAUCCGUAACUCGGAUUCCCAAUCCGUAAGUUCCAAUAAUCCUCCAAUAUUACGUAUUACAACGUAUCAAAGUUUGGUGAUGAUCCAACGGUCGGAUCGUCAAUUCAUAUUUUCACCUAAAUGCAAAAACUAUAAAACGUUAUUUGAACACCUAACCAACAAUCCUUAACAACUUUCUCAUACGGUGCUCAAUUUGGGUAUAUGAAUAUACCACGGUGAUCUACUCGACGUCACGGACGUCGAAAUAUUUUUAAAAUAAUUUUUUACUGUAGCACGCGACCCCACGCGCCAAGGAAGGCACGGACCUACGCGCCCCCACGCGCACCUUCUUCUUCCUUGGGUCGCUGGACUGGUUUUUCCGGUGACCGGAAAACUGGGCAUUUUUCAAAUGCCUUGUUCUCCUUCGUUUCUCAACCAUUUUCUUCGUAUAAUAUAUCAAAUUGAAGCCCCAAACAUGUAGAAUCACAAUAUACUACUUUAAAGCUCUAAAAACCAUGAAAUCUCACCGGAAAAAUUCCAAGAAAACCGGCCAAAGAUGAACCACGUGAUCCCGGCGUCUAAAUCCUUCAAACGAAGCACUCCGAGCUUCCUUGGGACCUCACUAAGCUCACUAUGAACUUGGAUUGUCCUAAAAUCAACCAACAAAAAGUUCAUGAAUAGUGCCAAACUCGGACCUCGAGUUUUCAACGCGAAAACGAAGGAUUCCUUACCUGAAAAUGGUGUCUACGUGAUCGUGGAGGUUCCAGGAGUUCGAUGGUGGUCUUAAAUUGGACGUUCGUGGAGGUUUGAUUGAGGUUGUGUGUGAGUCCGUAUGUUCGAGAGUAAGAGAGAGAGUGAGAGAGAGUUUUCUGAGAAGAAUAAGAUAGAGAGAAGAGGUUACGGGUUUUAGGGAGGGAAUUCAGGGUAGGAGGCCCUACCUAAGUCCAAACACAAAUUAACCAUAGUUUCGGAUCUUUAGAUAACACAAUGUCGUACAUUUACGCACCUUAAUCCCGUUUAAGGGCAUAUUGGUCAUUUCACGUCCUCGGAAUUAAAAUUCCGAGACGGGCUGUGACAAUCUCCCCUCCUUAUAGAAUUUCGUCCCCGAAAUUCCAGCCACCAACCAACCCAUCAAUACUCAUACCAAACUCGGUAAGUUUCUUUCAUCCGAUUCUUUUUCUCCUACGAAAUUUUCUUCCACUGAAUAAUUCCUUCACAAAACUUUUACCAUUUACUCUAUCUUAACUCUCAUGAUCUUCUUUUUCCAAUCCAAAGUUGUCAUUAGCUCCUCACUAAUUAGAUCCAGUUUAAUUCUCAAUAGUUACACCAGAAUUCCAUGAGACGACUCUGCCACCUAGUGACAACGCAUCGAACACAAAAUACAUUAAGUACCGUUGCCCUGUCUGGGAAAAAGUUAUUACUCAGCACUGGAGUAAUUGUACUAACUUGGUACAUUGCCCAACUAUCACUUCAAAUUCGAUCAUAACCAUCCUAUGUACAAGGAAACUUGUACACAUAAUCCAAAGUAAUAUCUUUCCAUUUCCACUGCGAAACAGAAAAUAGUUAUCUCAAUCCAAAGGUUUAUCUUUUUCUGCCUCAAUCUGCUGACCAAAUAAAACUGUCGAAUGGUAUGAUAAAUCUUAUUACUUUUGGAAUAUUGCAGAAGUUGAACAGUGAACUUCGUCCAAAUUUGCUUGCUUUAAAUCCUCAGCAUUAGGCACAUACUUUUUGUUUUCUUGUAUCCACAUACCAUUUGAUUCACGAAUCAUGUACUCAUUCUUUUUCCCUUCUUUCUCUGCCUUGGUUAAUUCUUAAAUUUCCUCGUCAAACAUUUAAGUUUCGAGUACGACCUUACCAAAAGGCCUAACUUGAAACUUAGCAAGUAUAACUUCUUCUCGAUCUUUCAUUCUUAACUUUACUUUAGUUGGUUUCCAAUCCACAAGAUGAUACUCUUGGCCAACGUGCCAGACAUUAAUUCUUACUGCAAUCUUUUUAUCAAGUGCUUCAACUAUAUCAAUCCCACGAUCACCCUGGUCGUACAAUCAUGUUCAUUAAACAAUUCAAUUUACCUUCGCUGCCUCAUAUCAAAAUCCUUCCAAGUAAUGGAUAUUGAAGACUUUUUGGAUUCGUAAAAUCUUGCAUUCUUACCAAAUAUAAUGCCUUCAUAACUUCACAGCAAGAAUGGUAAUCAUGACUUCCAAGUCACCCGUAGGGUAAUUCAUCUCAGGAGGUUCCAUUUAUCGUGAAACGUAUGCAAUCACCCUAACAUUUGCAUCAACAUGCCUCCAAUACCAUUCAAGAAACAUCACUAAAAAUUUAUGAUUACCACUAUUCUCUGGGAAUACCAAAAUACGUGCAUGAGUGAGGAAAUACUUCAGUUGUUGAAUCCUUUGCUCACAAUUUCCUUCCCACUCAUACAUAACCUCUUUUCUCAACAGUCUCGUCAAUGACAAAGCAAUGACUAAAAAAUCUUUCACAACCAUCCAAAAUAGCCUGGUAAGCUAAGAAAUUCCGAAUCUCAAUUAUGGCUUGUGGUUGUUCCAAAUUUUUAAUUUCUACUACUUUUUAAGGAUUCACUUGAAUACCUUAAGAAUAUAUAACAUAUCCCAGAAUGCCACCUGAUUCAUCUAACUUUAACAUUUGCUACUUAGCAUACAACCAACGUUCUCUCAAUCUUUGCUUCACCAACUUAAUACGUUUACAUGCUCUGCUCUGGCUCAGAAUAUGCCAGAAUAUCUUCAAUGAAAACGAUAUCAAUUAUCAAAGCAUUAUUGGAAUACUUCAUCCAUCAACUCAUAAAACAACAUGAGUAUCCAUAUAGCAUCACCAAACUUCAUAAAGACUAUAACAAGUCCAGAAAACCAUCUUAUGAUCAACGUCAUUCAUAAUCUUUAAUUGGUAAUAACCAGACUUCAAGUCAAUCUUUGAAAAUAUACAAGCACCUUUGAACUGAUCAAAUGAGCGUCAAUACACCACAAUGGAUAACGGUUCUCAUUCGUUACCCGAUUCCAUUAUCUAUAAUCAAUGCACAAUCUCUAAGUCCAUUUUCUUUUUCACCAACGAACUGGUGCUCCUCAAAAGUGUUAUACUGGGUUGAAUAAACUUUUAUCAACCAAUUCCCUCAAUUGAAUUUCCAAUUCACUUAACUCAUCAUGAACCAAUCUCUAUCAUAAGAUUUAUACCUGGCAACAAUUCAAUAGUGAACCUCACAUCUUUGCAUGAAGGCAAUCCAGGUAUACUUUCAAGGACAACAUUAAGAAAGCGUCCAAUUACCUUUACAUUUUCCAACUACUAGGAGCCACAUUAUUUAGCAUCACAUAAGCUAAGUAUCCUUGACAGAUCUUCGAAAACAAUCUCCUUGCUCUCACAGCAUAAAUAACGGCCUGACUCAAUCCACUUUGCAUACUUACAAAAGUAAUCUCUGGUCAUCCAGAUCGAUGGAAAGUACUGGUUUCCUGUAACAUUCCGUCGUGUCACAAUUAUAACCAACCAAUCUAAUGGAACAGAAUUAACUGAUACAAUAUAUAUUCUAUUAUUAAGCAUUCUGAAGAAGUACAAUACUAACAUAAAAUAAUCUACUAGGUUGCUUGCUUAACAAAUCCACGAAUGAGUUAUUAAUAUUACGGUCUGCAGCCCGCAAUACUGAUAAAUCAUCGUUGUCUCGAUAAGUAGGCAACCACUCUCAAAGAUAUAACAUUACUAUUUUGAUACUCAAUGCAAAAUACAUACACUCGUCUCAACUACAAUUAAUUACUACUCUCUAGGUAAUAACAUACAUAAUAAGAAAUAUAUCAGCCGAAGUCAACUAGAAUGACCAAUACGGCUGAUUCAACUCUUAUCUCAAUAAUACGUCGGUCGGAUCCACUCCGCGUGGUCGGUACGGCCGAGCCUAUAACUCACCAAUUUCUCAUGCGUCAGCCAGAUCCACCUCUCGUGGCCUGUACGGCUGAACAUAUAACUCAUCAAAUCUCUCUGUACUCACGGUCAAUCCGACCAAACUACUAAAUCCAUAACUCUGCUGAAUCGAUACUACGAUGUCAUAGAAAACUGUUGGGUACAACUGAUUCUAGGGACGAUUCAUAAUUUUGUGUCCUCUCUGUUCACAUAAACACAUUCCUUAAUUUCACACUUCCCAAAGUGUUAAUUUUGUACCUGCUGCACAAGGUACAUUUCCUUUACUCGAGACACCUUGUCUCAAAUAUCUGGAUGGAACGAGGCAAGUCUGAAAACUUUCUAUAAUAUUCAUUUAUCGUCAACUUCCUUGAUUCACAUUUGUAAACUCUUGCUUACUACCAUCGAUAAAUGCCGGAGGGAUAAACUUUUCCUUAAACAAGUCCUUAAAUAAUUCUCAAUCAGCUGUUUUCUCCGGUGACAACAAUUAACAAUCCUGUUUCCACCAGGAUACAAAUUCAUACCCAAAACCAGGUAGUCGUCUCGACCCCUUGUCAGAAGGAAGAUUCCUUUGACUUGCAUAAUCCGAAACAUCUUUUCCAAAUGUUUAAACCGUUACUUUGUUCCCUCAGGUUCAUCAUUUCUCUUAUGUGAUUCAAGUUCAACUCAUUACCCAUCUUAAAAUGUCCAUUUUGAUAAUAUACUGAAUCACCAUAAUAAUAGUUUCCCCUAACCCGCUAAAUCAGGGAGACUAAGUUCCUCUAACUACGUGGUUUGCUACGAGGCGGUGUAGUUCUGACAGAAUUCACUAGAAACUUCUCAAGAUGUCCAAGAUUGCAACCAUGCUCUGAUACCAACUGACACACCCCGUCCCGAAGGAGGGCAUGCUGGCCGUCACGUGAGAGUGACGUAACCAUUUGCACAGUACGGAAGCUUUAAGAUACAAUUUAUAAGUUGAUACACCCGAAGGUGAGUCCUAAUUUUGUCCAAUCUGUCAGAACACCGUCGAAUUCCUCGUAGUCACCACACCUUUGUGAUUUUUGAACCUGGAGGGGCGCAAAACCAAAAUUGAGUGGGUCAGUAAAACAAUUCUUUUCCAAAUCCAAACAUUUCUCAAAACGUUGUAACCCCUCUCCGUAAAACCUGUAUACUUUCCCAGAAAUGUAAAAUAUAAAUCUACAUAUAUAUUCUCAAGACUUCAAGUCGUUAACUCAACAUUUUCAUACAAUUAUGCCAUGCCACAUCAUCUCAACAUUUCUCAUAUUAAUUAUGCCAUGCCACAUCAUCUCAACAGUAAUAAGGUAUGAAUGCAUCAACAUAAUCAUAUCAGGUGCAAGAAAGUAAUCAACCGUAGGCCCUCUAAUAGCCCUGUACGGUUGAACCUAGAGCUCAAAAUCUAUCACUCUCACACUCUGCUGGAGUCACUCCGCGUGACCUGUACGGCCUUCUGCACAUAAGUUACGCUCUAGUGCUUCUCAUAAUCAUUUGUGCACAUAAUCUAAGGUCACCCACCAGUCGGAAUCUCACUAACACUCUCGCGACUGGCCUGUCGUACCCACUCCGCGUGGACUGUACGACUAGCAUCUACUUGGAUCCAAGACGAGCGUGCGAUGCGGUGAAUACUAUAAGCACUAAACUAUGGUGCAGGAUUUGAGCUCAAUAUACAUCAACAUCAUCAUAACAGAAAUAAAUACUCACAUGUGCGUCCACCGCACCAUUUCAUACAUAUGCAUCAUAAAUCAAUUCUUACCCGUGCGUCCACCGCACCAAUUCAUACAUAUGCAUCAUAAAUCAAUUCUUACCUGUGCGUCCACCGCACCAAUUCAUACAUAUGCAUCAUAAAUCAAUUCUUACCUGUGCGUCCACCGCACUAAUUCAUACAUAUGCAUCAUAUAUUAAUUCAUGCAUGGCAUUUCAACUCACAUUUCUAAAUACUUUUCAUAUCAAUUCUAUGCAUGGUAUUUCACUUCCCGUUUUUCCACAUAACUCAUAUGCAUUUCAUUUUAAACAUAUUU
rnacentral:lncRNA from 1 species